GUGUACUUGUUAUGUAUUUGCUCAAGCCCAUCGGUUCAUUUAUUCAUGUAGUAAAACAGACAGCCUGAUCGUAUUUGGGUCAACCAGCAGACCUGGAACCAGUCCCAGCAUGCUGUGAAGACAGGAUUUCAUAAACAAGAGGAUCAUCUUGAAGUCCCUCUUUGUGCUUGAAUUGCACCUCGGAAUAUCUAACAGAGCAGGUCAAGGUUUUCUGUGAAGAAAUGAAUCUGAAUCACUUUGGUGACCAGAUUUUUUCAGCUAUGCAGGCUUGGUCAGUGAAUGACUGCGAUUCCAGCAGGGUCACCCCCACCGAAGACCCCCAACGCCAAACCCCUGAGGAGGGAUCUUGGAAGCUCCUGUUGGUCUUCCUCCCAUCGAAUGCUUCUCUGUGUGGGAGCUCUGAUUACACAGCGGCUCAGAGGUGCAUUUACAAGCCGGAUCCAAUCCAAUGCGUAGUCUUCUCUCUGUAAACCUGAAAACAAUAUUCUAGAUUUACCAAGGGCUCAAGAGUUUUUUACAUUAGCAUCAGCUGUUAUAAGUUUUACAAUUUAGAGAAAUUUCUUGUUGGUUUACAGGACUUAAAUUCAAAGGCAUAUUCGAGUUUUUUAAUAUGAAGUUGCUUCAAAGUUUGUAUUAAUUAAAUAACCAGUAAUCUUUUUGUUUGAAACAAGCUUAAAAUGAGCAUGGAAAUCACUUCUAAUCUAGUAUAGAAGUGGUGAAAAGAAAAGUAUUCAGAGGCUGUCGGCAGGCUGAGGGCUUGGCGGAGGCAGAGCUAGGUUUGAGUGCUUGCAGAUCUCAGAUUUGAGUUUCCUUUCCAGAUUCUUCAGAGAGCGGGCAGGCAGGUCUUUGACAGGUUUGAUUCUCCAGGGUUCUUCAGAGAUCAGACAGACAGAUUUCCAA